rnacentral:rRNA from 1 species
AUUGAACGCUGGCGGCAGGCUUAACACAUGCAAGUCGAGCGGGGUGAUGGUGCUUGCACUAUCACUUAGCGGCGGACGGGUGAGUAAUGCUUAGGAAUCUGCCUAUUAGUGGGGGACAACAUCUCGAAAGGGAUGCUAAUACCGCAUGCGUCCUACGGGAGAAAGCAGGGGAUCACUUGUGACCUUGCGCUAAUAGAUGAGCCUAAGUCGGAUUAGCUAGUGUGGUGGGGUAAAGGCCUACCAAGGCGACGAUCUGUAGCGGGUCUGAGAGGAUGAUCCGCCCGACUUGGACUGAGACACAGCCCAGACUCCUACAGGAGGCAGCAGUUGGGAAUAUUGGACAAUGGGGGGAACCCUGAUCCAGCCAUGCCGCGUGUGUGAAGAAGGCCUUAUGGUUGUAAAGCUCUUUAAGCGAGGAGGAGGCUCUUUUGGUUAAUACCCAAGAUGAGUGGACGUUACUCGCAGAAUAAGCACCGGCUAACUCUGUGCCAGCCGCCGCGGUAA